rnacentral:lncRNA from 1 species
AAGUUUUGUGGCCAUGGGGAUGCUGACAAAGAUUGCUUGGGAUGCACACAAGGCAGCUGCGAAGGCUGAGGGGUGCUGCCAGGCCGGGCUCUCCACUGGCCACGCUUUUGUUUUUAACUCUAGAAUUUGUACAUAUGGCUUUGGAAACCUCAUCCAAUACUAAGUGAUGAACAUACAUGAGGAUACUAUGUAUUUUUCAACCUGCAAGCCCAAGAUUUCAAAUGCUUUGGUUUAUCGCAGAGAACACAUCUCUCAAAUUGUCUUCAAUGAGCACUGCAGGAAGAAAGUCCUGGCAACUUGGUGCAGCGAAUUUGAUCAGCACCAUACGUACGACCUGUCUCAGGAACGGUGCCAUGCGUGUGACUAGGACUGCAAAGCAGCUUGUGUUCGUGGGGGAAAUGACAGGCACAGGAAGGAAAAGCUGAGAACACUGAAACGGUUCCUAAUCGUGCAGUGGGGAAAGGAGGGCGACUGCCGCGCAGAGUGGCACGUUGGCUGGAAGAGGGGAUUGAUCGGCAGUGCUGGCAGGAACAGCAUAGGCUUGUCGUGUGAUCUAACAGAAGAGGCAGCAAUCUGGAGGCGCCCCAGAUCAGAGAAGAGACAUCAAGCCCCAGGAGAAAUGGAUUUCAUUUCUCCCCACCCAUCAGCUGGGUAGGAAGCCCGAAGGAACCUUUCAUGGAACUAUGGGAAGGGCUCCUCUGACGCAGAGGGGAUGAACUGGAAGCAAGAUGCUGACUGUUUCCAAAGGCUUGACUGUUCUGAUCAUUGUAUUUGAAAACUCACCAAAAAGGGGAGAAAUUAACAAAAGGCUAUAGAGAAGGUGAGCUUUUACUUUUAUAAGCUGCCAACUUCUUAAAAUAAUUUUAAAAUGA